UAGGAAUCUGCCUAGUAGUGGGGGAUAGCUCGGGGAAACUCGAAUUAAUACCGCAUACGACCUACGGGUGAAAGGGGGCGCAAGCUCUUGCUAUUAGAUGAGCCUAAAUCAGAUUAGCUAGUUGGUGGGGUAAAGGCCCACCAAGGCGACGAUCUGUAACUGGUCUGAGAGGAUGAUCAGUCACACCGGAACUGAGACACGGUCCGGACUCCUACGGGAGGCAGCAGUGGGGAAUAUUGGACAAUGGGGGCAACCCUGAUCCAGCCAUGCCGCGUGUGUGAAGAAGGCCUUUUGGUUGUAAAGCACUUUAAGCAGGGAGGAGAGGCUAAUGGUUAAUACCCAUUAGAUUAGACGUUACCUGCAGAAUAAGCACCGGCUAACUCUGUGCCAGCAGCCGCGGUAAUACAGAGGGUGCGAGCGUUAAUCGGAAUUACUGGGCGUAAAGCGAGUGUAGGUGGCUCAUUAAGUCACAUGUGAAAUCCCCGGGCUUAACCUGGGAACUGCAUGUGAUACUGGUGGUGCUAGAAUAUGUGAGAGGGAAGUAGAAUUCCAGGUGUAGCGGUGAAAUGCGUAGAGAUCUGGAGGAAUACCGAUGGCGAAGGCAGCUUCCUGGCAUAAUAUUGACACUGAGAUUCGAAAGCGUGGGUAGCAAACAGGAUUAGAUACCCUGGUAGUCCACGCCGUAAACGAUGUCUACUAGCCGUUGGGGUCCUUGAGACUUUAGUGGCGCAGUUAACGCGAUAAGUAGACCGCCUGGGGAGUACGGCCGCAAGGUUAAAACUCAAAUGAAUUGACGGGGGCCCGCACAAGCGGUGGAGCAUGUGGUUUAAUUCGAUGCAACGCGAAGAACCUUACCUGGUCUUGACAU
rnacentral:rRNA from 1 species